AACAAACAUACCCUUGGGUGAAGAUAAAAAAAAUCUCGCAAGGUCAAUUUUUAUUAUCUUUAUUAUUCCAUUUUUAUGCUAACUCGGGUGUUUAUUGUUCAUUUUCUAAAGUGUUAGGGUGGAAAUUGAAGUCGCUGAUGUGAGAGUUUUAUACCUUAGCAAUUAGUGCUAUAUUUCCUUUUGUACAGUGUUAAACCCUUUGA